rnacentral:rRNA from 1 species
UCCUAAGGCCAGCUCAGUGAGGACAGAAACCUCGCGUAGAGCAAAAGGGCAAAAGCUGGCUUGAUCCAGAUUUUCAGUACGAAUACGGACCGCGAAAGCGGGCCUAUC